AUAAAGCUGAGAUCGGAGCCCACUCUCCUUGGGUCCUUCGAUUUUAACCUCCUCUCUUGUCAGUUCUCUCUUCUCGAUCGCGCUUUAGCUAGCUCUUCCACUACCUUGGAUUUAAAGAUGCGCCCACCAAUCAACAUUGGUGGUCGUUCGUAUGGACAAUCAUCGAGUUCUCAAGCUGCUGGUUUUCAAAGAACUUUGAAGAAGAUAAUGUGGUUAUUCAGAAACGACUCGAUUCUGUGGAGCAACUGAUUCAAUCUUUUGCAGGUCCCAGUGGAUCAAAUGCAGCAGCUCCAUCUACUCCACAAACUUCCAUGGGUGUUGGUUCGUUUGCUCAUGCUACGUAGUUUGGUUUUACUUUGUUUGCUAAUGCUAUUUGCUUCCGUUUAUGUUGUUAAGUUUAUUUGCUUUUGUUUGCUGAAGUUUAGACCAUCACGUUUGUUUCUUUUUUAUAACAAUUUCGUUUUGGA